rnacentral:tRNA from 1 species
CGGGGCAUAGCGCAGCCUGGUAGCGCACCUUGGGGAGCAGGGGGUCGCAAGUUCGAAUCUUGCUGCCCCGA